UAGAGUUUGAUCAUGGCUCAGAUUGAACGCUGGCGGCAGGCCUAACACAUGCAAGUCGAGCGGUAACAGAGAUUAGCUUGCUAAUCUGCUGACGAGCGGCGGACGGGUGAGUAAUGCCUAGGAAGUUGCCCGGUAGAGGGGGAUAACCAUUGGAAACGAUGGCUAAUACCGCAUAAUCUCUAAGGAGCAAAGCAGGGGACCUUCGGGCCUUGUGCUACCGGAUACGCCUAGGUGGGAUUAGCUAGUUGGUGAGGUAAUGGCUCACCAAGGCGACGAUCCCUAGCUGGUCUGAGAGGAUGAUCAGCCACACUGGAACUGAGACACGGUCCAGACUCCUACGGGAGGCAGCAGUGGGGAAUAUUGCACAAUGGGCGAAAGCCUGAUGCAGCCAUGCCGCGUGUAUGAAGAAGGCCUUCGGGUUGUAAAGUACUUUCAGUUGUGAGGAAGGGGGUAAGCUUAAUACGCUUACCUCUUGACGUUAGCAACAGAAGAAGCACCGGCUAACUCCGUGCCAGCAGCCGCGGUAAUACGGAGGGUGCGAGCGUUAAUCGGAAUUACUGGGCGUAAAGCGCAUGCAGGUGGUUCAUUAAGUCAGAUGUGAAAGCCCGGGGCUCAACCUCGGAACUGCAUUUGAAACUGGUGAACUAGAGUGCUGUGAGGGGGGUAGAAUUUCA
rnacentral:rRNA from 1 species